rnacentral:rRNA from 1 species
AUGUCACCCAGUUUCAGGAUUGUUGCUCCUAGUUCCGGUGUACUGAAGAUGGAGACUUCAGACAAAAAUGGGUAUCAGUUGAUGGAAGUUGCCUACCACAUCGACUUUGAUGGUUGCAUCAACCUAACUACUGGGUGCAAGGAGUUUGUGGCAGAGUCUGGAUUUGAGGAUGGUGAUGUGGUUAUGGCUGGAUUCGCUAGGGUUCCUUUGGUCUUGAACGAGCGGUUGGCGAUAGUGAUACUCGAUUCCGUGAUGUUGGUUAAUGAUAGCCAUGGUGCUCCUGAGGACAUUGCUGAUGUUAUCAAAGAUAUUAAUGAUGGAAUGUAUUCUCUUAACGUUGAUGAUGUUGAUGGCAGCUUGCAGUUGUCUGUUACUCAGUCACAGUGUUGA